UACGUAGGGUGCGAGCGUUGCCCGGAUUUAUUGGGCGUAAAGGGCGCGUAGGCGGCUCGGCACGUCCGUUGUGAAAUCGCCCGGCUCAACUGGGCGGGGUCAGCGGAUACGGUCGAGCUUGAGCAAGCUAGGGGGCAAUGGAAUUCCCGGUGUAGAGGUGAAAUUCGUAGAUAUCGGGAGGAACACCAGUGGCGAAGGCGGCGAUCUGGGAGGAUACUGACGCUGAGGUGCGAAAGCGUGGGGAGCAAACAGG
rnacentral:rRNA from 1 species